rnacentral:rRNA from 1 species
CGUAGGGUGCAGGCGUUAAUCGGAAUUACUGGGCGUAAAGCGUGCGCAGGCGGCUCCUUAAGUCAGAUGUGAAAUCCCCGGGCUUAACCUGGGAACUGCGUUUGAAACUGGGGAGCUCGAGUGUGGAAGAGGGGGGUGGAAUUCCAGGUGUAGCAGUGAAAUGCGUAGAGAUCUGGAGGAACACCGAUGGCGAAGGCAGCCCCCUGGGCUAACACUGACGCUCAUGCACGAAAGCGUGGGGAGCAAACAGGAUUAGAUACCCUGGUAGUCCACGCCCUAAACGAUGUCAACUGGUUGUCGGGGAAGCAAUUCCUUGGUAACGAAGCUAACGCGUGAAGUUGACCGCCUGGGGAGUACGGCCGCAAGGUUA